rnacentral:rRNA from 1 species
AUUGAACGCUGGCGGCAUGCUUUACAAAUGCAAGUCGAACGGCAGCGCGGGCUUCGGCCUGGCGGCGAGUGGCGAACGGGUGAGUAAUGCAUCGGAACGUGCCCAGUAGUGGGGGAUAGCCCGGCGAAAGCCGGAUUAAUACCGCAUACGACCUGAGGGUGAAAGCGGGGGACCGAAAGGCCUCGCGCUAUUGGAGCGGCCGAUGUCGGAUUAGCUAGUUGGUGGGGUAAAGGCUUACCAAGGCGACGAUCCGUAGCUGGUCUGAGAGGACGACCAGCCACACUGGGACUGAGACACGGCCCAGACUCCUACGGGAGGCAGCAGUGGGGAAUUUUGGACAAUGGGGGCAACCCUGAUCCAGCCAUGCCGCGUGCGGGAAGAAGGCCUUCGGGUUGUAAACCGCUUUUGUUCGGGAAGAAAUCCUCUGGGCUAAUACCCCGGGGGGAUGACGGUACCGGAAGAAUAAGCACCGGCUAACUACGUG